GGAUGUGAGGGCCAUCCAGCUGUGACAUCUGUCACCCUGUUGAUUGCCAGGGUUGUUUCGGCCAAUCUGGCUGGCUAGACGGGUGUCCCCUUCCUCCCUCACCACGCUAUGCAACCCUGGCAAAGCAGAACCCUCAGUCAAGGAGGACGACCUUUCUGGAUAGAGGACUGGUCUUCAGUCAAGGGUAUGGGAGUAUCUGCGAUCCCCUGCUGGAACCGCCAAACAAGCUCUCAAGGUCCAUUUGUAGAAGAAGGUAGGGUAGUCAAGCUUCCAAGACUCCAGACACCUCCAAAUGAAAUGCUGCAUACAGCAGUCUGCGCUUCACU
rfam:Ailuropoda melanoleuca scaffold1074_84, whole genome shotgun sequence.